GACGAACCGUGCGAACGUUGUUCGGAUUCACUGGGCUUAAAGGGCGCGUAGGCGGUCGGCCAAGUCUGGGGUGAAAUCUUUCGGCUCAACCGGAAAAGUGCCCCCGAUACUGGCCGUCUAGAGGGAGGUAGGGGCAUGUGGAACUUCCGGUGGAGCGGUGAAAUGCGUUGAUAUUGGAAGGAACGCCGGUGGCGAAAGCGAACUGCUGGACCUCUUCUGACGCUGAUGCGCGAAAGCUAGGGGAGCAAACGGG
rnacentral:rRNA from 1 species